CCCCGCCCCCGCUUUGACAAACGGAAACUCCAGGCGACCCAGCGGCUCCGCCCCCAUUCCAUUCGAAGGGAAAGAACAGAGGAAGAGCCUUUUAGUCACAGCCCCUGUGGCGUCACCGCUCUAAGAAGGGAGGGUGUUGCCUCUCGGCGCGCAUGCGCCACCUGGGAAGGGCGGGUGGCUUGGAUUCGCGUGUUAUUCUUUUGUUUGUUUAAAUUAAUUCGGGUUGCUCCUGUUGGUUUCCGGGUUCAGGGAAAGCCACCUGUCCUGGAUUGCGAGUUAAAGCCUCUUCUUUCCCUAAUCUGGUGGCCUCCAAGCGUGCCCGUCCGCAGGGUUUUUUAAUUGGCUCCCUGGAAGGUCCUGUGGGUCGUGCGAACCCAGACAACGAGUAAUUUCUGGAACAGAUCGGGAAACCAGUCCUAAGUAGCCUGGGGGAGGCAUGGAAUGUGCCUUUGGCCCAACUGAGUGUACUUCUUCAUAUCGCUAUGAAGCCAAGGUCCUGGAUUUCCCUGACAUUAUUAGUGGAUACAGUUCUAUGAAAAAGUAUUUGCCCCCCUUUGGAUUUUCAGUAUUUUUGUACAUCUCUGCUGUGGAAUGUUAUCAGAGCUUCAUGUAGAAAAAGCACCUGAAUAAACAAAUGACACAUGUUCUUCAAGAAGUACAGAGUUUCAACUCUGAGAAGAAAGCCAAUGAGUUAUUUCGCAAAUCAUCAGUUGCAAAACCAUUGGUUGCAAACCACUGAUUCCAAAUUGUGGAGAAAGUGGAGCACUGUUCCAGUAAAAAGUCUACAGCUUCCCUGCCUUCUCAUGUAUCAGUUCAAGUCCAAGUGAUGAUAUCAUGAGGAACACCUCCCAUGGGGCUUUUUCAGCUGAAUAAGUGGGGCAGCCAAGGAGACUGCAGAAUGAUUGACAGAUGGGCAACAGAAACUUGGCAAGAUCCACACCCUCCAUCACUUCUCAACAAUAACAUUCAAAAAGUCAAACUCUAAAGAAUGAAGUAAUAAAAAAGGAGAUCUCUUUUGUGGAAGAAGAAAACUGGGUGACGGAUUUUUGACCCAAUUUUAAUAUGUAUUGUAUUCCUCUAAGAACACCAUAUCGCAAUCUCCCAUUCUUACAACAGGCACAAACAACACUGAAGCAAAAUGUAUUCCAUGAAUAACAUUGCAGAAAUGCUUUUCAACAUUGGCUUCUGUUGAACUCAGUGCAGGAGUGUUAAAUAUGUCCUGUGCCCAAGGCAUAAAAACUGGAAAUAGCAAGCAGGUGUUUUCUUUAUGCUAAGCCUCCCUCAUCCUGGCAACUUCCAAUGGUAUGAUGACCAACUGCUUGCUGGAGAUUCUGGGAAUUGCAGUCCUGACAUAUCUGGAGGUUACAAGAAUGGCAAACAGUGGUCUAGGAUGUGUUUACCAGUUAUGAGGGGAAGAAUGAAAUUGAGAGCCACAGCAGGAAAAACAAGGAGAGAAAGGUUAUCCAAUGGGAUUGUGACUAAAAUAGCUGGGACAUUAAAGAGCGUCUUUCCUGCCAACACAGAUGACAUCAGCAUAAAAGCAACAACAGCUGGAUUUGUUGGCCACUUGAAAAUCCAUUAACCAGAGGUUCAUUUAAUAUUUUAAGAAUGCUCUGGAUUUUAUUCUUUAUGCUGGUUUAUGCUGUGAUUAUUAUGUAUUCUUUAGAUUUUGUUUUUGAUGGCUUGUCUAUUUGCCAUUUGGUUUUUAUCUUAACUGCUUGCAAUACUCUAAUAAUUUUAUGUUUG